GGUGUGCUGGUUCUCUAGGGAGCAUGUGCACACCUUGUCAUCUUUAUAUCUCCACCUGUGCACCUUUUGUAGACCUUUUAGGUCUAUGUUGCUUCAUUUACCCCAAUGUAUGUUAAUAGAAUGUUGUGCCUAUAUAAUAUAUACAACUUUCAGCAACGGAUCUCUUGGCUCUCGCAUCGAUGAAGAACGCAGCGAAAUGCGAUAAGUAAUGUGAAUUGCAGAAUUCAGUGAAUCAUCGAAUCUUUGAACGCACCUUGCGCUCCUUGGUAUUCCGAGGAGCAUGCCUGUUUGAGUGUCAUUAAUAUAUAUAUCAACCUUCUCUUGUUUGAGUGGUUUGGAUGUGGGGGUUUGCUGGCCUCUUAGGGGGUUCAGCUCUCCUGAAAUGCAUUAGCAGAACAACCUGUUCAUUGGUGUGAUAACUAUCUACGCUAUUGAAUAUGAAGGGCAGUUCAGCUUUCUAAUGGUCCUUGGACAAUUCAUCAUUAAUGUGACCUCAAAUCAGGUAGGACUACCCGCUGAACUUAAGCAUAUCAAUAAGCGGAGGAAAAGAAACUAACAAGGAUUCCCCUAGUAACUGCGAGUGAAGCGGGAAAAGCUCAAAUUUAAAAUCUGGCGGUCUUUUGGCUGUCCGAGUUGUAAUCUAGAGAAGUGCUAUCCGCGCUGGACCGUGUACAAGUCUCCUGGA
rnacentral:rRNA from 1 species